UUCUCGAUGCCUCCCAUUCCUA
rnacentral:miRNA from 1 species